ACCUGGGAUAGCUCAGUUUAAUAACUGAGUAUGAGACUCUUCAUCUCAGGGUCAUGGGUUCAAGCCCCAUGUUGGGCA